rnacentral:rRNA from 1 species
UACGGGGGGAGCAAGCGUUGUUCGGAUUUACUGGGCGUAAAGGGCGCGUAGGCGGUCCCGUAAGUUCCGCGUGAAAUCCCCCGGCUCAACCGGGGAAUGGCGCGGAAAACUGCGGGGCUUGAGUUCGGGAGAGGGAAGCGGAAUUCCGGGUGUAGCGGUGAAAUGCGUAGAUAUCCGGAGGAACACCGGUGGCGAAGGCGGCUUCCUGGACCGACACUGACGCUGAGGCGCGAAAGCUAGGGGAGCAAACGGG